GACGAACGCUGGCGGCGUGCUUAACACAUGCAAGUCGAGCGGUAAGGCCCUUUCGGGGGUACACGAGCGGCGAACGGGUGAGUAACACGUGGGUGACCUGCCCUCAGCUCUGGGAUAAGCCUGGGAAACCGGGUCUAAUACUGGAUAUGACUCCAUGACGCAUGUUGUGGGGUGGAAAGCCUUGUGCGGCUGAGGAUGGGCCCGCGGCCUAUCAGCUUGUUGGUGGGGUGANGGCCUACCAAGGCGACGACGGGUAGCCGGCCUGAGAGGGCGACCGGCCACACUGGGACUGAGACACGGCCCAGACUCCUACGGGAGGCAGCAGUGGGGGAAUCUUGCGCAAUGGGCGAAAGCCUGACG
rnacentral:rRNA from 1 species